AUUGAACGCUGGCGGUAUGCUUAACACAUGCAAGUCGAACGGUAGCAUGACUUAGCUUGCUAAGUUGAUGACGAGUGGCGAACGGGUGAGUAACGCGUAGGAAUAUGCCUUAAAGUGGGGGACAACUUGGGGAAACUCAAGCUAAUACCGCAUAAUUUCUUAGGAAAAAAGCUGGGGACCUUCGGGCCUGGCGCUUUAAGAUUAGCCUGCGUACGAUUAGCUAGUUGGUAGGGUAAAGGCCUACCAAGGCGACGAUCGUUAGCUGGUCUGAGAGAAUGACCAGCCACACUGGAACUGAGACACGGUCCAGACUCCUACGGGAGGCAGCAGUGGGGAAUAUUGGACAAUGGGGGCAACCCUGAUCCAGCAAUACCGCGUGUGUGAAGGAGGCCUGAGGGUUGUAAAGCACUUUCAGUGGGGAGGAGGGUAUUUAGGUUAAGAGCUAGAAUACUGGACGUUACCUAUACAAGAAGCACCGGCUAACUCCGUGCCAGCCGCCGCGGUAAAAC
rnacentral:rRNA from 1 species